UUUAGUCAGGCAACGAGCGAGACCCGUACCCACAGUUGCCAGCGGCUGCUCCGGCAGGCUGGGUACACCGUGGGGACCGCCUCUGCUAAAGAGGAGGAAGGAGCGGGCGACGGUAGGUCAGUAUGCCCCGAAUUCUCCGGGCUACACGCGGGCUACAAUGGAUGGGACAAUGGGCUCCGACACCGAAAGGUGAAGGCAAUCUCUUAAACCCAUUCUUAGUUCGGAUUGAGGGCUGAAACUCGCCCUUAUGAAGCUGGAAUCCGUAGUAAUCGCGUUUCAAAACAGCGCGGUGAAUACGUCCCUGCUCCUUGCACA
rnacentral:rRNA from 1 species